UGUGAUGCAGCCCGCAACAAAUGCCAACUUUUAGCGCACGGCUCUCUCCCAAGAGCCAUUUCCCUAGACCGGGCACAGGAAUCGUGUUCGGUCUUUUUUU
rnacentral:sRNA from 1 species